AUUAAAGUGCCUAGCAAAGUACUAGUUGCACAAUAUGUGAUCAAUAAAUACGUGACAAAUGAAUGGCUUGGUGACUUUAACUGAAUAACUGAAUGAUUGCAGAGUACAAGCAGCAUCACCAAACAAAGUUUUAGCCAGAAACAUAUGACUUGGCUUCAGGUUCAGAGAACAGAAAAAGAAGCAGAUGAUAUGGUAGACAGACCUUCUGCAGCUCCCCUAUUGGUUGCAUGGCAUAGGAAAGAAAAGGCACCAACUCUCUUGGCUUUUGCUUCAAAAACUCCAAGGAUCAGAAGGAAACCCAGAAGCUCUCCAGUUUAACACGUACUUGAAUAAGAGCUCCAUCUACUAAAUACCUGGCAAGUAUUUUCUGAUUCUUUACUUAAUAAAUUAAAUAAAAGGGUGGGACAAGGAGAACAUGCUAAGGGAGUCCACUCCAAUUUUGGACACCUCUAAUUGCUCGGGAAGUUUUUUCUUUAGCUGGAAUCUAUUUCUCUCUAUAACAGCUAUCCAUUAUUCCUAGUUCUGACACCUGGGAACAGAGACCAAAUUGAAAACUUCCAUAUUACAGCCAAUCAAUAC